UGGGGAAUUUUGGACAAUGGGCGCAAGCCUGAUCCAGCCAUGCCGCGUGCGGGAAGAAGGCCUUCGGGUUGUAAACCGCUUUUGUCAGGGAAGAAAUCUUCUGAGUUAAUACCUCGGGAGGAUGACGGUACCUGAAGAAUAAGCACCGGCUAACUACGUGCCAGCAGCCGCGGUAAUACGUAGGGUGCAAGCGUUAAUCGGAAUUACUGGGCGUAAAGCGUGCGCAGGCGGUCUUGUAAGACAGAGGUGAAAUCCCCGGGCUCAACCUGGGAACUGCCUUUGUGACUGCAAGGCUUGAGUGCGGCAGAGGGGGGAUGGAAUUCCGCGUGUAGCAGUGAAAUGCGUAGAUAUGCGGAGGAACACCGAUGGCGAAGGCAAUCCCCUGGGCCUGCACUGACGCUCAUGCACGAAAGCGUGGGGAGCAAACAGGAUUAGAUACCCUGGUAGUCCACGCCCUAAACGAUGUCAACUGGUUGUUGGGAAGGUUCCUUCUCAGUAACGUAGCUAGCGCGUGAAGUUGACCGCCUGGGGAGUACGGCCGCAAGGUUGAAACUUAAAUGAAUUGACGGGGU
rnacentral:rRNA from 1 species